rnacentral:tRNA from 1 species
GCCCCGGUCGUCUAGCGGUCUAGGAUACAGGCCUGUCACGCCUGAGGUUCUUACACCGGCGAAUGACCCGGGUUCAAAUCCCGGCCGGGGCG